rnacentral:lncRNA from 1 species
UCAAUAUGGGUCAGUCCGACUCGCUAAACUCUUUAGCCGAGUCCGUGUAAGCUGGAAUGACAUCACCAUGCCCAUGACAAGUGGAACCGAGUCAUCAGCCAACUUUCACAUUAGUCUAGGUUAUGUGUCCAACACAACCUCAAUGACUAAGGACAAUUUAGUAUGAACAACAUGAAUACAUAGUUCCACAAUCAAAUCACAUAUUCAAUGAUACAUAUCAGAUGUUCAAACAAGGACAACUUAAUAAUAUUUAUGAAUACAUUGGGAAUUACAUCAUACAUGAUUGCCUCUAGGGCAUAUUCCCAACA